AGUGAACGCUGGCGGUAGGCCUAACACAUGCAAGUCGAACGGCAGCACAGUAAGAGCUAGCUCUUACGGGUGGCGAGUGGCGGACGGGUGAGGAAUACAUCGGAAUCUACUUUUUCGUGGGGGAUAACGUAGGGAAACUUACGCUAAUACAGCAUACGACCUACGGGUGAAAGCAGGGGAUCUUCGGACCUUGCGCGAUUGAAUGAGACGAUGUCGGAUUAGCUAGUUGGCGGGGUAAAGGCCCACCAAGGCGACGAUCCGUAGCUGGUCUGAGAGGAUGAUCAGCCACACUGGAACUGAGACACGGUCCAGACUCCUACGGGAGGCAGCAGUGGGGAAUAUUGGACAAUGGGCGCAAGCCUGAUCCAGCCAUACCGCGUGGGUGAAGAAGGCCUUCGGGUUGUAAAGCCCUUUUGUUGGGAAAGAAAAGCAGCAGGUUAAUACCCCGCUGUUCUGACGGUACCCAAAGAAUAAGCACCGGCUAACUUCGUG
rnacentral:rRNA from 1 species